UACGAAGGGUGCAAGCGUUACUCGGAAUUACUGGGCGUAAAGCGUGCGUAGGUGGUUUGUUAAGUCUGCUGUGAAAUCCUGGAGCUCAACUCCAGAACUGCCUUUGAUACUGAAGAUCUUGAGUUCGGUAGGGGAGUGUGGAAUUCCUGGUGGAGCGGUGAAAUGCGCAGAUAUCAGGAGGAACACCCGUAGCGAAGGCGGCACUCUGGGCCGAUACUGACACUGAGGAGCGAAAGCGUGGGGAGCGAACAGG
rnacentral:rRNA from 1 species